ACACAUAUGGAUCACAUUAGUUUACUGUAAAGCUACGUCUUAGUUGGUGCUUAUCUUGGCGAGAGCCGAGUUCAAAUCAGCAUGAAGUUUUAACAUCUGCUCUCAUGUAAUGGAAAUCAUAAAUAAUCUUUUCAUAUUUCCACAGAAAAUCCUACUGUUGAAAUAUGUGAUAGAGAUUCUGAGGUUAUAUUGAUGCACACAGAGAAUGAUGAUCUGGAUGAAACACUGCCAUGGAAGAAAGGUGCUUCAAAUCAAGCUGAGGCUGACCGAAGUGCACCACAGUCGUCAUCACAUACCGAGGCCCCAGGGAAGCAAUAGUAAUAUCUGCUAUAGGAACUACACUGAGGUAUUUGCACCGAUCCCUCUCAGUGAUGACAGCAGUGUUGAAGACACAGAAGAAACUGUGAUAGGUGAUAGGUAAGUAGGUUUUUUCUUUGGUUGGCCUAUUACUUUCAUGAUUUACAACAGUAAUAUAUACUUAAAAAAAUUGUUAACACUACCUGCCAACCAUUUCUUUAAUAUUAAUUAUUUUAAUUGGAUAUACAAAAUAUUAGGCUAUGCAAUAUUUGGAAAUUACUUAUUUUGUUUUUUGAUUCUUAGAGCUCAAGAAAGCCAUAUUACAGUAAGUAACAUCAUAGAAGAUUUAUUUCUUCAAGUCAAUAAUGCAGCCUGCAGUUGCUUUAUAAUUAAUAGAGCUGAUGUCUGGGGUGGAGCAAUGCGGGGUUUCCGUAGAAGUAACUAUGAACCCCAGAAUUCCAUGAUGGUGAAAUUUACGGAUGACUUUGGAGU